GAGAUCAGAGCAGCUCCACGCCCGCUGCCCUCCUCCGACUGCAGGAAGGUUAUCUCAGAAUGAGGGUAUGAAGGUUGGGAGACUGAGGAUGACCGGAUAAGGAAGGAGACAUCAAGGCUGAGACUGAACUCAGCAGCCAGCAUUAAAGCUGGUGUCCAGGGUUGAUUGAGGUCUCGUCCACCACUCUGUCGUACUCCAGCCUGAACUCCUCCAGCUCGCCUGAGUCUCCAAAUGCU